rnacentral:misc_RNA from 1 species
GCUCACCUUGGAAUUCAACACCUUCCUCAAGACAUCUUCUGAUUUCAGAAACAACCACCGGAUCUACCAGAGGGUGACGCCUUUGUGCACGAGGAUCUCUAUAUUGUAAGAACCGACAAUUCUGGCCGAGGACCUCAUCGGCACGGUAUCCAGUGAAGAUCUCGAAGACUUUGUUGACGUAGAUGAUUGGAAAAUCGGGCUCCAGAGCAUCAGAGACCACGAAGGAAGUUGGCGUCAUUGGGUAGAAGAAAAGCCCCGGUUUCAAUGGAAGCUCGCUCACCUGCUCUUCUUCUUCUUCAUUACCGAGGUGUUCAUCGUCGUGCUUAG